UGAGGAAUAUUGGUCAAUGGGCGAGAGCCUGAACCAGCCAAGUAGCGUGCAGGAUGACGGCCCUACGGGUUGUAAACUGCUUUUAUGCGGGAAUAAAGAUAUCUACGUGUAGAUAGUUGCAUGUACCGCAUGAAUAAGGACCGGCUAAUUCCGUGCCAGCAGCCGCGGUAAUACGGAAGGUCCGGGCGUUAUCCGGAUUUAUUGGGUUUAAAGGGAGCGUAAGCGGCCUUUUAAGCGUGCUGUGAAAUGUACCGGCUCAACCGGUGAAUUGCAGCGCGAACUGGAGGGCUUGAGUUCGCGGAAGGCAGGCGGAAUUCGUGGUGUAGCGGUGAAAUGCUUAGAUAUCACGAAGAACUCCGAUUGCGAAGGCAGCUUGCCGCAGCGGUACUGACGCUGAAGCUCGAAGGUGCGGGUAUCGAACAGG
rnacentral:rRNA from 2 species